GAUGAACGCUGGCGGCGUGCCUAAUACAUGCAAGUCGAGCGAACGGACGAGAAGCUUGCUUUUCUGAUGUUAGCGGCGGACGGGUGAGUAACACGUGGAUGACCUACCUAUAAGACUGGGAUAACUUCGGGAAACCGGAGCUAAUACCGGAUAAUAUUUUGAACCGCAUGGUUCAAAAGUGAAAGACGGUCUUGCUGUCACUUAUAGAUGGAUCCGCGCUGCAUUAGCUAGUUGGUAAGGUAACGGCUUACCAAGGCAACGAUGCAUAGCCGACCUGAGAGGGUGAUCGGCCACCUUGGAACUGAGACACGGUCCAGACUCCUACGGGAGGCAGCAGUAGGGAAUCUUCCGCAAUGGGCGAAAGUCUGACGGAGCAACGCCGCGUGAGUGAUGAAGGUCUUCGGAUCGUAAAACUCUGUUAUUAGGGAAGAACAUAUGUGUAAGUAACUGUGCACAUCUUGACGGUACCUAAUCAGAAAGCCACGGCUAACUACGUG
rnacentral:rRNA from 1 species